AAAUAUCAAAGGAAUCUGAAGUUAAGCCAUCAAAAACUACAGUGUCCUUUAUUUCCUCAUGAAAGGACCUGAUGAUGUUGAGGAGCUGAGGUGGACAUCCAAUCUUGGGACAAUUUUAUAAAGGCCAUCCCUGCUAACCAAGUCAAAAGCCUUCGUAAGAUCUAUGAAGCCUACAAAAGUGGCUGUCUUUGUUCCCUGCAUUUCUCCUUUAACUGUCUAAGGCAAAAUACCAUGUCAGUAAUGGACCUGUUGGCUCGAAAUCCACACUGUGAUUCUGGAUAGACUCUCUCUGCAAGCACCUGGAGCCUCUUCAGUACGACACAGCCUUCCCAGCUAACACACUUGCCAUCUGGAAAAGCCAACUCGUCAUGCCAACUUCCAUUGAGAUUUAGUUGAAGGAUGACAAGCUUAGGGGCUGAAGACCACUGGAGAGAUGAUUAAUAAUGCCUCACAGCCACCACAUGACUAAACAUAACCACAGGUUGCGGAACAGUUUUGGAAAACUAUUUCGGGCCACUCCCUCUUCCCUUAGCAACAAAGAUUUGCAACAACUACACAAUAAUUUAACUGGAAAUUCUUGAUAUGUGUGUUUGGCAGCUCUCUUCACCUCAACUGUAUAAGACAAAGACUACAUUAAAAAAAACCUCUUUAAAAGAUCUUAAAACCUUAGAAUAAAAGUUUUCUUUAAAAAUCAGUAUAUGUAGUAUGAAAUUGGGAAGGUUUACAUCAAAGUUUAAAGGUCUGAAUUUAAAAUUCAGUUGCAAAAACAACCACGUUACUAACUUAACAUUUACAGUGAUUCACUUAACAACUAUGGCAAGAAAGAUUGUAAAAUGGGUCAAAACACACGUAACAAAUGUCUUGCUUAGCAACAUAAAUUUUGGGCUCAAUUGUGGUGGUAAGUUAAAGACUACCUUUACAGGAGUAAUUUUAAAUUUCUGGUUGAACUUAACUCUUUGCCUUCCUUGACAUUCCUAAUUGUGUCCGGCAUCUGAAGCAAACCCUAUUAAGAACUGAUGCAAUUUCAGGACACCAUACACUUUAUUCUAUGGGUUAACUAUUUUACAUUAUUUAUUUUUCAUUCAUUCAUUCAUUUUCAUUCAUUUCAUUAUUUAUUUUUGCUGCUUGAGGCUUUAUGGAUAAUUUAUUUAUGAGUCAUCACAGACUAAGCUGUGUAGAAUUUUGGUAAAAAAAAUGAGCAUGUAAUUGGCCUUAUCCAUAUUCAGUUCAUUUGCAAAUAUUUUUUCUUUGCUAAAAAAAAAGUUAUAAUGGAUAGAUGGUUAUAGACAUUGCAAUUAGGACAUCCCUCUCCUGUUUUUGUGUAAAAAAAAAUUGAUUAAAUUUUGUUUUGUUUUUGAGCCAAAUAUUGAAAACAAUGGAUCAGUUAUAACUCUGGUGUUCAUAAACCUAAUAUAUGUAUGAAAAAGUAUCUUAAAUGAAUAUUUUAGCUUUAGGAGAAUAAUUUAUAGCUUUUCAAUUUAAUUUGCUAUUUACUAUAUUCAAAAUCUUCCCUCCGAACAGCACAGGAGAAUAUAUAUCCACAUGCAGACUAUUUUUGAAUUGCAUGUCAAGGACUUCACACUCUGAAGAAAGUUGGAUAAGGACACAAAUAAUAUGAGGGUCUAAGAGUAAAAGGAAACUUGUUUUAAUUUAAUUAUUAUGACAAUUAACUAUUAUACUUAUUGUCAUGUGAAAAAUGACACUAUGUAAAGUUUUGUCUUUUGUAACAUACAAAAAUGGGACUAUCAAUAAUAACAUACAAAAAUGGGACUAUCUUCAUUCAAACAAUAUAUAAAAAUAAAGGUAAUAUAAUUGGGAAAAGACUUGAAAAAAGUUGACUUUAUGCUAUCAUGUAUUCAAUAAUAACAACAAAAAUGCUUUUUCCUUCUGUGGCUCUAUUACUAGUUAUUGUCCUUUUUGGAAAAAAUAAACUCAAGCAGGCAUUUCUUAUAACUGUCUUAUAACUGUCUAGUGUCUCUGACAUAAUUGGGAAGAAGGUUUUCUCACUAUCUCAUGGUGAAUUUUUUCAGCUGUGGAAUUUUUGAGGGCAUUUCUUGCGUAAACAGCCCAUGCCAAAUCAUCCCACAGCACCUCGGGUGACCUUGGAAGACAGGGGGAAGAACUGCAGCCAGUGCAGUUUUUGAAUAAGUGGCUACUUGACCUGAAGCCGAAAUGUAGUUGUGGCAAACAUCUCAGAAGAGACUCAACGUCCUGGCCUAUAAAGGAGAUGGGGAGAAAUGUACUUUCAGAAUUACAAAAUUAUG